rnacentral:tRNA from 1 species
GGAGAGAUGGCUGAGUGGUCGAAAGCACCGGUCUUGAAAACCGGCAAGGAUUAACGUCCUUCUAGGGUUCAAAUCCCUAUCUCUCCGCCA